GGUUUUCUUGUUAUUGAUGAUGAUUGGAAAUUGGUUGGACUUGUUUCUGAUUAUGACUUGCUUCUGAUUAUGACUUGCUAGCAUUGGACUCCAUAUCUGGGCAGCGGACUGAGAAUGACUUGUUUCCUGAAGUUGAUAGCACUUGGAAAACUUUCAAUGAGGUACAGAAGUUACUCAGCAAAACGAACGGCUAGGUGGUUGGAGAUUUGAUGACACUGGCUCCAUUAGUUGUACGUGAGACAACUA